AGUGAACGCUGGCGGUAGGCCUAACACGUGCAAGUCGAACGGCAGCACAGUAAGAGCUUGCUCUUACGGGUGGCGAGUGGCGGACGGGUGAGGAAUACAUCGGAAUCUACUUUUUCGUGGGGGAUAACGUAGGGAAACUUACGCUAAUACCGCAUACGACCUACGGGUGAAAGCAGGGGAUCUUCGGACCUUGCGCGAUUGAAUGAGCCGAUGUCGGAUUAGCUAGUUGGCGGGGUAAAGGCCCACCAAGGCGACGAUCCGUAGCUGGUCUGAGAGGAUGAUCAGCCACACUGGAACUGAGACACGGUCCAGACUCCUACGGGAGGCAGCAGUGGGGAAUAUUGGACAAAGGGCGCAAGCCUGAUCCAGCCAUACCGCGUGGGUGAAGAAGGCCUUCGGGUUGUAAAGCCCUUUUGUUGGGAAUGAAAAGCAGCAGGUUAAUACCCCGCUGUUCUGACGGUACCCAAAGAAUAAGCACCGGCUAACUUCGUG
rnacentral:rRNA from 1 species